ACUGCUUCUGUGUGGCAUUCAUAAAGUGAGGAGCCACUCCCUCAGCCCCUCUACUUGUCCCUCAUCCACAUCCCUGCAAUACAAUGACAAAGACAGGGAAUAUCCUUGCCCUGACACACUCCACAGUGCUCACAGAAAUGGGCACACAGUCCCAAGGUGGUCUGGGGUAUAAAAGUGCUUUAGCUUCAUUGGGACAUUGAGCGCCAAGGGGAUUCUAUUCCCUGAAACUAGACAACUGGCUUCUGGCAAGCUUGUUCUUUCCUGUGCCAAGGGUGCUGGAAGAGGGGCACCAGAGCCCUCUGCUCCUGAUGUGCCUUCUGGCCUUUAGCUGACAGCAUCCUCUGCUCCUGUGUUUCUGUCUAACCCUCUCUAUGUCCUGCUUGGUCUGCCCUAUCUUUGUGAAAACUCACAUUGUCUGAACAAGGGGAAGAUCUAGACUGGAUGGUUUAUAGAGGAUGGUCCUAUCCCUUUGAUUAACAGACCCUUUCAGACUGCUAGGAAGGUUUGGUGGAACUGGGUUGGAACUGAAUGACCUUGUGCUAAGCCCUCAUCUUUUCCACCUCUUCUGUCCUCCCCUCUGCAUUCACACCUCAGGGUGUGUGGAGAUCCAACCCCACUGGAAGGGCCAGAUACCUCAAGGAAGAUGGAUCCUACCUGCUCUGUGGAUUUUGGGCUGAUGAGCCUGAAGCACCAGCCCAGGCCUGGUCUGAGACUGUGAAAUGUACAAUCCAGCAGCCCGUCUGCUGUGCUGAGGCCAAUGUGGUGGAAGACCUUUCCUACAAAAAGGAGGAAGGGGAGGUGGCAACUGCAGUCCAGGCUGAGCCUAUCCCCAGGGUGUGUGGAGAUCCACCCCCACUGGAAAGGCCAGAUGUCAUCCUGCCUAUCCUGAAGGAUGACAGAUCCUACAUGCUCUGUGGAUAUUGGGCUGUUGAGUCUGGAACACCAGUGCAGGUUUCUGCUGAGCCUUGGCACCUUACAGCCCAGCAGCCCAUCUGCUGUGCUGAGGCCAUUGUGGUAGAAGAUGCCUCAAGCCAAAAGGAGGAAGGAGAGGUGGCAUCUCCAGACCUGGCCGAGGCAAACCCCAGGGUGUGUGGAGAUCCACCCCCACUGGAAGGGCCAGAUGCCAUCGUGCCUAUCCUCAAGGAUGAUGGGUCCUACAUGCUCUGUGGAUACUGGGCAGAUGAACCUGAAGCACCAGCCCAGGCCUGGGCUAGGGCCUGGCACUUUACAACCCAGCAACCCCUCUGCUGUGCUGAGGCCAUUGUGGUGGAAGACUCCUCAAACAAAAAGGAGAAAGUCAAGGGGGCAUCCUCAGAUCAGGCUGAGGCUAUGUCCAGGGUGGGUGAAGAUCCACCCCCACUGGAAGGGCCAGAUGUCAUCACACCUAUCCUCAAGGAUGAUGGGUCCUACAUGCUCUGUGGAUUUUGGGCAGAUGAUCCUGAAGCACCAGUCCAGGCCUGUGCUGAGCCCUGGUACCUUACAACCCAGAAGCCCAUUUGCUGUGCUGAAGCCAUUGCGGUGGAAGAGCCUUCCUGCAAAAAGGAGGAAGGGGACUCAGCAUCUGCAGAGCAGGCCGAGGCUAUACCCAGGGUGUGUGGAGAUCCACCCCCACUGGAAGGGCCAGAUGCCAUCGUGCCUAUCCUCAAGGAAGAUGGAUCCUACCUGCUCUGUGGAUAUUGGGCUGAUGAGCCUGAAGCACCAGUCCAGGCCUGGGCUGGGGCCUGGCACUUUACAACCCAGCAGCCCAUCUGCAGUGCUGAGGACACUUUGGUGGAAGAGCCCUCAUUUCAAGAGGAGGAAGGUGUGGUGGCACCUGCAGACCAGGCUGAGGCUAAUCAGAGCCUCUGCUCUGCAUCACACCUCGGGGUGUGUGAAGAUCCACCCCCACUGGAAGGGCCAGAUGUCAUUGUGCCUAUUCUCAAGGAUGAUGGGUCCUACAUGCUCUGUGCAAUUUGGAUGGAUGAUCCUGAAGCACCAGUCCAGGCCUGGGCUGGAGCCUGGCACCCUACAACCCAGCAGCCCAUCUGCUGUGCUGAGGCCAUUGUGGUGAAAGAUGCCACCUACCAAAAAGAGAAAGUCAUGUUGGCAACUGCUGAUUGGGCUGAGGCUACCUCCAGGGUGAGUGGAGAUCCACCCCCACUGGAAGGGCCAGAUGCCAUCGUGCCCAUCCUCAAGGAUGAUGGGUCCUACAUGCUCUGUGCAUAUUGGGCUGAUGAGCCUGAAGCCCCAGUCCAGGCCUGGGCUGGGGCCCUGCACCCUAUAAUCCAGCAGCCCAUCUGCUGUGCGGAGGCCAUUGUGGUGGAAGAUGCCUCCAGCCAGAAGGAGAAAAUAGAGGUGGCAUUUGCAGAGCAGACUGAGGCCACACCCAGGGUGGGUGAAGAUCCACCCCCACUGGAAGGGCCAGAUGUCAUCGUGCCUAUCCUCAAGGAUGACGGAUCCUACCUGCUCUGUGCAUAUUGGGCAGAUGAGCCUGAAGCCCCAGUCCAGGCCUGGGCUGGGGCCCUGCACCCUACAGCCCAGCAGCCCACCUGCUGUGCUGAGGCCAUUCUCGUGGAAGAGCCCUCAUCACAAGAGGAGGAAGGGAAAGUGGCACGUGCAGACCAGGCCGAGGCUAAUCAGAGGGUGUGUGGAGAUCCACCCCCACUGGAAGGGCCAGAUGUCAUUGUGCCUAUCCUCAAGGAUGAUGGUUCCUAUGUGCUCUGUGCAUAUUGGGCAGAUGAGCCUGAAGCACCAGCCCAGGUCUGGGCUGAGGCCUGGCAUGCAAAAACCCAGCAGUCCAUCUGCUGUGCUGAGGCUUUUUGGGUGCUAAGAACUUCCUCUGGUGGAUACCAUGAAACCUGA
ensembl:lncRNA